rnacentral:tmRNA from 1 species
GGGGCCGUCUAGUUUCGACGGGUAUGUUUGAGCUUUAAUUGCAAGUCGUAAGGUAAUGCGAUAAAUUCCAAAAAUAAAUAACUGGAAACAGAAAUCAAUUAGCUUUCGCUUAAUAUAAUUUAGAAGGCACUCUAAUAAAUUUUUUCCUAUGAAAUUUAUAUAGGGUUCGAUUAAGUAGGAUAUAUUAUUGUGAUGUCUAUAAGCAAUAAUGAAAUUUAUAGACUUAUCUUAAAAUUGUUUGUUGAUUAACGUAUUUUAAGAGAAAUUUAAUAAUCAACUAAACUUGUAGAUGUUAUUGUGUUAAUGUAUUCGGACAUGGGUGCGAUUCCCAUCGGCUCCACCA